CGUAACGUCUCCUCCCCGCGACCGCUACAUUCUGCGCCGAAACCCAGUCUCCCCCGGUCCGGAUUUUAACUUCUUCCCACAGACCUAGGUGUACCUCGUUGGGUACCGAGAGACGGUUUGGACCACUGGGAUCACGGAUUGAGGACGAUUUUACGCGGAUGACGACUCCUUCAACGAGAAUUUAGUAAAAGAAAAUCAGUCGAAAAUUUCAGAAUAUGUGGAAGGGAUCCUAAUUCAGCAUCCUGGAAGUAGAAAGCACAGAAGACCUGUGUCUCUCGUCACAGACAGGUGCAGUGUGUAGUCGGAGCAGCACAGAGGAAGGAAGGUCUGGGGAGGAGGCGGAGCGGCAGCGUGCCUCUCCGGCUGUGGAUGUGCUGGGUGGCAACCCCCAGGCUGCACAGAAUGUGGCUGGGGAAUCACCUCGGCUCGCCCCGCAGCCGGUCACAGCUGCCCCCUGCCCAGUCCCUCCAAUCACAAACUCGUCCACCGUGCCAUUGCCGGACAGCAGCAACUCUGCGCUCCCCAGCAUGGAGAACAAACUCCCUGCGACUCUGCCGAGAGGCGACUUCGAGAACGUCAUUUCACAAGAGGUUUCUGCUGAGGAGAGCAUGGCUGGAGUUGCAGGAUCUUUGCCAGCAUCCCCCACAGAGGACUGCAGCUCCUCUGCUAAAGUGCAAAGACUUCCAGCUCGUCCUUUUCUCACGUCACAGAUUGACGGCACAGUCCAAGAGCUUCACUACGUGUCUCAAACUGUUAAAGAAAAAAGCAACUCAAAUAGUCAGGUUAAGCAGAUUCAGCCACCUCGACAAAGUGCUGAACCUGUUUGUAUUACAAAGGAGACACAAUCCAUCACAUUGGAAUAUAAAACAGAGACUGGAACAAAUGUGGAACUUUGUGGAAAAGGUCCACAUGUCCACGCAAGCCAGUGCAGCCAUAAACCUCCAUCAUGCACUGCAGAGUCAGCAAGUCACCAACAGGACUCAAAGUCUGCACUCCCUCCUUUUCCAACUGAUAAUACGGAGAAUAAACAAACUGACCGGUCAAAACCUAAAACUGUCAGAGAAAUCUUACACAAAGCCACGGAAAUGCACAAGGCAAACUCUUUGGAAUCAGUCAAAACCUUUAAGUAUGUCGAAACGCCUCAUUCUGCUAAAAUACUUGAGGCCUCAAAGGCUAGAGAAUUGUCUCACGGAUCAUGCUCUUUUAGAAAAGAAACCUCAGUGUCCACAAGCAGUCCCCUUGAAG